AAAAAUGCCACACAAAUCGAAUGAUUUUGCGUGCAUAAUGAAAAAGAAAAAAAAAAAGAAGGUAUUUUAGAAUACCUCUUUUGGGUGAUUUAUUAUUUUUUUUUCUUGGUUUCUUUCUUUACCAGCUUUCGAACUCUGCCCAAAGGGAUUAAAUGUCAAGCACUUAACCUUUAGGACAAGUUUGUAGCCGGUGAUAUGUGUGGCAUAUUUUAGAGCUUUAUUCCUAGAUAGAGCAGAUACUAAUGCAGCAAAUCAAAA
rnacentral:lncRNA from 1 species